rnacentral:rRNA from 1 species
ACGGAAGGCAGCAGUGGGGAAUAUUGCACAAUGGGGGGAACCCUGAUGCAGCAACGCCGCGUGAAGGAAGAAGGUCUUCGGAUCGUAAACUUCUGUCCUAUGGGACGAUAAUGACGGUACCAUAGGAGGAAGCCCCGGCUAACUACGUGCCAGCAGCCGCGGUAAUACGUAGGGGGCAAGCGUUAUCCGGAAUUAUUGGGCGUAAAGAGUGCGUAGGUGGUUUUACAAGCGCGGGGUGAAAGGCAAUGGCUCAACCAUUGUAAGCCCUGCGAACUGUAAGACUUGAGUACUGGAGAGGAAAGCGGAAUUCCUAGUGUAGCGGUGAAAUGCGUAGAUAUUAGGAGGAACACCAGUGGCGAAGGCGGCUUUCUGGACAGAAACUGACACUGAGGCACGAAAGUGUGGGGAGCAAACAGGAUUAGAUACCCUGGUA